rnacentral:tRNA from 1 species
GAGGGUACAGCUCAGUGGCAGAGCACAUGCUUAGCAUGCACAAGGUCCUGGGUUCAAUCCCCAGUAUCUCUG